UACGUAGGGGGCAAGCGUUGUUCGGAAUUACUGGGCGUAAAGGGCGCGUAGGCGGCACAACAAGUCGGGAGUGAAAGCCCGGGGCUCAACCCCGGAAUGUCUUUCGAAACUGUUGAGCUAGAGUGCAGAAGAGGCAACUGGAAUUCCCAGUGUAGCGGUGAAAUGCGUAGAUAUUGGGAAGAACACCUGAGGCGAAGGCGGGUUGCUGGGCUGACACUGACGCUGAGGCGCGAAAGCCAGGGGAGCGAACGGG
rnacentral:rRNA from 1 species